AGAAUGAAUGUUGGCGGCGUGGAUUAGGCAUGCAAGUCGCACGCUUUAUGUAGCAAUACAUGAGGAGUGGCGUAAGGGAGAGUAAUGCAUGGUUAGCUACCCUUGGGACUGGGAUAGCGGCGGGAAACUGCCGGUAAUACCAGAUGACAUCUUCGGAUCAAACGUGUGAAACGGCCCAAGGAGGUGACCAUGUCCUAUCAGCUAGUUGGCGGUGUAACGGACCACCAAGGCUAAGACGGGUAUGGGGCGUGAGAGCGUGCCCCCAUCACUGGGACUGAGACACUGCCCAGACACCUACGGGUGGCUGCAGUCGAGAAUCUUCGGCAAUGGGCGCAAGCCUGACCGAGCGACGCCGCGUGCGGAUGAAGGCCUUCGGGUGUAAACCGCUGUCGUAGGGAGAAGAUCCGUGUGAAGAACGAGGGUUUGACCGAUCCGUAAGGAGGAACGGCCGGACUAAUCGUCGUGCCCAGCCAAGGCCCGC
rnacentral:rRNA from 1 species